UGGGGAAUUGUUCGCAAUGGGCGCAAGCCUGACGACGCAACGCCGCGUGGAGGAUGAAGACCUUCGGGUCGUAAACUCCUUUCGAUCGAGACGAAUGGCCUCCGGGUGAACAAUCCGGAGGAGUGACGGUACCGAGAGAAGAAGCCCCGGCUAACUCCGUGCCAGCAGCCGCGGUAAUACGGAGGAUGCAAGCGUUGUUCGGAAUCACUGGGCUUAAAGAGCAUGUAGGUGGGGUGUCAGGCGUCGGGUGAAAUCCCUCGGCUCAACCGAGGAACUGCCUGGCGAACCGGCAUUCUUGAGGCAGGUAGAGGUGGCUGGAACGACGGGUGGAGCGGUGAAAUGCGUAGAUAUCCGUUGGAACGCCGGAGGCGAAAGCGAGCCACUGGGCCUGUCCUGACACUGAGAUGCGAAAGCGUGGGGAGCAAACAGGAUUAGAUACCCCAGUAGUCCCUGAGCGGGCUGGCAAGGCGCAU
rnacentral:rRNA from 1 species